ensembl:lncRNA
UGUCACCCCAAAUGAGGCAUCAGCUGCCUUCAAAAGGCUCAGUGCACAGUGUUUACCGCUUUCCUCGGACCCGCUUUUGAUUUUACGACUUUUCAGCACCCACCUCCCAUACCCACUAGUGCGUGCCACCUCAGCUAUCCAAAGCAGUGGGAAGAAAGGACAGCACAUGGCUUCGAGCCUGGAAAACAUCAUUAGAAAUAGUCAAGGAUGGUGACCACAAAGCUCAGAGCAGUGCUCAGUUUGGUUCACUCCAGAGGAGCCAAG